GUGGAAAAUUACACUCUGUGAAAUUAUGAUAUUUUAAGCCUUUGCAGAUCUCCAGUGGGUGGAGAUUGUGGAGAGCAAAUGUUAGAGAACUGUGACACUAUGAUUCAUUCAUUUUUCACAAGUUUCUGUAUCCAAGACAUUUAAACCACGCCGUGUUUUAAUCAGAGUAAUGCAUGUUUACCUUUCAGUAACAAAGUGAUUAUCAGAUGUAAUGAAACUCAAAGAUGAGCAUUUGGUCACAGAUUUUCAAGUCCUUGAGGGAAGACAUCCCCUUCUUAAAGGGGCAGGAUGCACAAUCUGGAUGUUUACUUCAGCUCAUCAGGUUUUAAAAGACACUCUCUGUUGAAAUAGCCUUUGACAUUACUUGCUGGAUAAUAAUAACAGUUUAAACUUCUGCUAUAAUGAACCUUUUUAUGAAGUUUGAAUCUUGACCAUUACUCUUAGUAAGUACAACACAAGCAAAGAUCUGGAAAGGAGGAAACACCGUCAGUAAGUGCAAACAAACAGCUUUGAGAUCGAUCGGACACACAGGUGCUGACAGGCACUGCACAGAGGGAAAGCACAACAUCGACCACUGUUCUUGAGAGCUCUAAUCAGCAUCAAAACCAU